CUUAUUAAAUAUUUUUUUCUUCCCCAAUGACCAAACCCUAGAACACAAAAAAUACCAUUUACCCAAAUCGAAAAAAAAGCGAAAAUUCAUUUGAUUUCUUCGAUAAAUCAAUCUAAGUUGCGAUCAACAACUUCAUAAGCUGAAAUAUUUCAUCAAUUUCAAGAAAAGGGUAUUGGUUUUGGUUUGGAUUAUAGUCAUGAGGUUUAAAAAAGGAAGUAAAGUUGAGGUGAUGAACAGGAAGGAUUCACCUGUAUCAUGGUGUCCUGCAGAGAUCGUAUCGGGUAAUGGACAUACUUACUCUGUGAGGUAUGAUUAUUAUCCUUGUACGGAAAGUGAAGCGAGGGCUGAGAGGGUUUCGAGGAGGGAGAUCAGACCAUGCCCCCUUCCUUCAAAGGGUGUGGAGAAUGGGCAAAGUGGUCAAAUUAUCGAGGUGUUUGAUGAUCGUUGUUGGAAAACUGCUAUUAUUGUGAAGGUUUCCAAUAGAAACUAUUAUUUAGUACACCCAACUGGAUGUUCACAGGAGAUUAGAGUUCAUAGAUCGAACACCAGAGUGCGACAAUGCUGGCAAGAUGAAAAAUGGCACUUGAUUGGAAAGGGAUCUGGAACGUGUGCGAAACCUGACCAGCUUCCUGCUCAAAGAUCUUAUAAAAAGGUGAGCAUUGUCUUAAGUGCUAGGAAUGGAUUUCAUGUUAGAGAUGGAGAUUUGGCUGCUCAGGGAAAUCUUAAAAGGAAGAAGUGUAAUGCUAGCUCUUUGGUGUUGCUGAAGAGGGUGCCAGACGAAUCAUCUAGAAACAUUCAGGAGGUAGUGGAAGGUGAGAGAGAUUUUAAGAGACGUAAAAUAGUUCCGGCUGCCUUGGAGGGGAACACACAUGAUAUUACCAGGUUGAACGGAAAUAGGAUGGAUGAGAAGUAUGUGAGUGCUUCAUUUAACAAUUGGUCUGAUGGAUAUUAUGGAUCAAACCCUGCAAAAAGAAGUGGUACCAAUGGCUAUUCCCCUGCAAGAAUUGGAGAAUCUAAUGAUUCUGAUAGUGAUGCAUGCUCUGUUGGUAGUUGUAGUAUUAAUCAUGAGAGUCCAAAUAAAAUUUCUAGUUUUUCAGCUGAAGUUCAUUGUCAAGUACCUGAUCUUCUGUGCAGUGAUGCAGAGUCCUUUCAAAGUUCAGCAGAAGAACAUGAGGAGGAAAGCUGCCGUGUUUCUUCGGAGAAAAAUAUAGCAGGGAAUAUUCGUGACUUGGAGUUGCAUGCUUAUCGCUGCACUUUGGAGGCAUUGUAUGCUUCUGGUCCCUUGAGUUGGGAACAAGAAGCGUUACUGACAAAUCUCCGCAUUGCACUUCAUAUUUCAAAUGACGAACAUUUAACAGAGCUGAGGACUUUAAUUUCUUCUGGAACUGGGCGACAUUGGGAUGCAUGCAUCCUUUGCCUCCUAAAGUCCAAAGAUGAUGCUUGCAUUUGCAGCACCUCUCCUGGCCAUAGAGAGGACUCAUGCAACGUCUGUCUCAGAUAAGACAAUUCAUGGCUUGUUCUAUUACUAUUUUACAGCUUCAUGAUUUGUUUUGUCUGGUUAAGUUCAACUUCACUAAUCUGGUUUUUCCAAUGGAAGUGAAAUUAUAAGAUGUCGGACCUAUUGUAUAAGAUCUUAUGAUAUAUAUCUGUUAUUGCUAGCUAUCCGAUUGAAGUUGUGCUUACUUUUCCCUUGACAAUCAACGGACUUCCUGUACAUACAGAAGUAUGUGUUGUCUUUCUGUAGAACAUUAGUUAGAAACAUAUCUAUUUUUUGUUGGCUAGUACGGAGAGAGUUCACAUAACUGAAUGUGGUUGCAGUUAAUGCCCCUUAAUUAAAUUUAACAAUAUUCGUCACUUAGCAGUCGUAAGAGUUUUGGAUUGAUAGCCUUUGUACUAACAGGGUAAUAUUAUUAAUAUACAUUGCAUAUGCGAAAAAUGUAUGCUUUUCAGCACUCCUGUACAGUUAUGGUUCUUUGAGCUAACAACACAAUUUAGCAUAUUCCUGGAACAUUUGGAAGAUAUUUAGUAUAGCAAGGUUAAAAGUAAAUUUGCUGUUUCCGGAGGCAGUACUUAUCUCAAUAUUGAUUCAAGAAAUACAUUUCUUUCUUUGAAGGAAUGUUAUACUUGUUAUACUUUUAUGAUAUUAUCAAAUAUAAAUCGAGAUUAUUAAUGACAAAAGUUGCUGCUCAUCAUCUGAACUUUCUUGAAGAGGUUUAUGCUUGACUUAAGGUGUGUUUGGAACUGGAAUAUUUUUUGGAGAACAUUUUCAAUAAAUAGUCAAUUUUAAUUAUAGAUGAUGAUCCUUAUAAUGUUAAAAAGAAGGCAAUUUUUGGUAUUUGGUUGCCAGAAACUAUUUUUCCGGAGAACAGUUUUUGCGAAAAGGGGAGAAUGACUCAUCUUCCCAUCAUCUCAACUCUUAACUAAUAGAUAUAUUAUUAGCAAUCUUUAAUACUCAAUUUUCAUCAAAGCACAACAGUUCUUAAUAAAUGUUUUCGGAAAACAUUUUCUGGAAAAUGACUUCUGUCAUUACCAGGCACACCCUUAAUGUGAUUCUCGCGUUAUAUUAUCUACUCUUGACCUGAUUUGUGCUGCUUUGGUCGAUGAGGGAGGACACCAUGGCAGUCUGUCCAGACUCCCGGGAGAUUGAAAGUCAUGUUUCCGUCUCUGCAUGUACUGAGGAUAUCUGGUUCAUCUGGAUAAGACAUUCUGUGGCAGGUCUACAAAGUUUUAUGGUUCUGGUGGAAAUAAUUUUAUUUUCCUUUUUAGCCUAUUGUUUCCUGGUGUUGUUUCACUUAUUUGUUGCUAUCAAAUGUUUUCAGUAGCUGCUGAUGCAGAGUUGUAAAUUCCUCUCAUUUUCUUGAUGGCUCAUACAUGAGGUAAAGAGGAUGUAACCUGUACUGUGUAAUUUACUGUAUGACAUCUGAUAUUGGCUGUUCUUCUCAUUUUUCAUUUCCUUUCGGCUCAACGGAUAGGUGCCCCCUCGGGUAGAGGUAGAUCUCGGAGUUAAAUUUGAUGAGUUCGACCUUUAAAUUUACUGUCUUUGUCAUGUAAUAUUACUUCUGAGAAAUGUUUGAAAGAAGCCAUGAAUGAAUGAAUGAGAAUAACAGGCUGAGGGAGCCUUUUUUUUUAUUA